UGGGGAAUCUUGCACAAUGGGGGAAACCCUGAUGCAGCGACGCCGCGUGAGCGAUGAAGGUUUUCGAAUCGUAAAGCUCUGUCCUAUGGGAAGAUAAUGACGGUACCAUGGGAGGAAGCCCCGGCUAACUACGUGCCAGCAGCCGCGGUAAUACGUAGGGGGCGAGCGUUGUCCGGAAUUACUGGGCGUAAAGGGUUCGCAGGCGGCAUGGCAAGUCCGAUGUAAAAGGCGAAGGCUCAACCUUCGUAAGCAUCGGAAUCUGUCAAGCUUGAGUGAAGGAGAGGCAAGUGGAAUUCCUAGUGUAGCGGUGGAAUGCGUAGAUAUUAGGAGGAAUACCGGUGGCGAAGGCGACUUGCUGGACUUCAACUGACGCUGAGGAACGAAAGCGUGGGUAGCAAACAGG
rnacentral:rRNA from 1 species